UACAGAGGGUGCGAGCGUUGUCCGGAAUCACUGGGCGUAAAGGGCGCGUAGGUGGUGGCUUAAGCGUGCGGUGAAAGCUCGGGGCUCAACCCCGAGUCGGCCGUGCGAACUGGGCUCACUGGAGCAUAGUAGAGGCAGGUGGAAUUCCGGGUGUAGCGGUGGAAUGCGUAGAGAUCCGGAAGAACACCGGUGGCGAAGGCGGCCUGCUGGGCUAUGGCUGACACUGAGACACGAAAGCCAGGGGAGCGAACGGG
rnacentral:rRNA from 1 species